CCCUUAGAUGUUCUGGGCCGCACGCGUGCUACACUGAGUAAUUCAAUGGGUAAGGGAACGCUAGAGCAUUACCUAAUCUUGAAAUUUGCUCGUGAUGGGGAUCGACGGUUGCAAUUUUCCGUCGUGAACGAGGAAUACCUUGUAGGCGCAUGUCAUCAUCAUGCGCCGAAUACGUCCCUGCCCUUUGUACACACCGCCCGUCGCUCCUACCGAUUGAGUGGUCCGGUGAGGCUCUGGGACCUGGACGGAAAGAGCGUUUCGCUUGUUCUGUUUGGGAAACUUGGUCGAACCUUAUCAUUUAGAGGAAGGAGAAGUCGUAACA
rnacentral:rRNA from 1 species